UUAUUUAAAAUUCCCAAAAGUUGGAAUCUGUAUAGAUUUAAAGUCUACAUUGGGUAAAUCUGCUUUGGGCCAAAGUAAUUAGAAAUGGAUUUAAUUUUCCUUGAACCCAUAUUUUGAAAUUUUAAAAGUAUUCUGCUUUCUUUGAAAGAAGACCCCCAAAAAUGUUUUGCUUUACGGUCAGAAGAGGUGAGACCAUAGAUCUAAUAAUCGUUUCUUUGUAUCCAUAAUCCCCUCUCGUUUUUCAAAUAAAUGGGGUUUUAUAUGGAAGCAUUAAUUUAGCUGAGGGGUUGAAAAUAGAACAAAUUAAUCAAAGGAACCUAGGGGUUUUUAUAUGCAAAAAAUCAGUUGUGGAAAUUAUAAAAUGGUUCAAAAGAUAUAUAUUGUCUAUAACGUUUUCCUGUAGCAAAAACUACCACCAUCUUCAAAUAAAUUUUCCAGAUUGCACUUUCUUGAAAACUUUUCUAAAUUCCAUUAUGCCUAAAUAGCAACUUAAUUAAAACCCGAAUCGAAAGUUUUCAAAGCCUGAAAACCCAGUCACUGAUGGAUGGCAUGAAAAAGAAUGCGAAAGGAAUUAAAACCCAUUUCUGCGAGAGAGAAAAUUGAUAAAAUGAAGACUUAAGCGAUUUGUUUGGUUCGUGUGGGGAAUCUCCAGCGAAUCGCUUUUUUGGAACGUGCUUGGAAUAUCCAAAAAGGAAGAGCGAGGGAGAGGAGAGGGAAACUACUACUCCUACUCCUACUACAGUGGCGAUUCAGGGAUUUGGUGUGGGGUGAGCAUCACUCUAUCCAUCUAUCUCUUUUGCCCCAUUAUUGUAUCUCUCUCUCAGUCGCUCCACCGAAUAUAUGUAUAUGUUCCGCCUCUUUCCGCCCGCCGUCACUUGAGUUGCAAUUUGCAAGGCGCGCCAGCUUUCCAUAUCCCUUUCCGGCACAGCUCCAUCCAUCUGUCCCAUCCUCCAUUCUUAAUAUAAUUAUUGUUGCUGUCUGGCGCUGAAAAUUAUGAAAAUUAUCAACUUGAUGCUACAUCACCCCAGAAAACAAAAAACAAAAAAAACCCCAUGUAGAUGUAGAUGGAAAAUCCACGCAAAUUUCCCUCUAAAACAAUCAUCCGAAAGGAAGUCAUUUGCAUGGAGACGGUGUGGGACGCGGACCCUACAGAAAUCACAAAUAUGUAUGCAAUGGUUUUGGCUUGGGGCACUUUAAUUAUCCAACAUAAGAAGGAAGCAAAUAAGCCAACAAAAUGCAAAAUAGCAGCCGAGCACAACACAAAAUUCAAUUAAAAAUGGAAUCCCCGGAAAUUCCUUGUUGUAAGCGGGGCCGGGCCGGGCCCUCCCCUUCCGCCUACCCAGAAAAAUGUCGAAAAGCCAUAUUGUCAAAAAAGGCAAAUUGUUCAACUGCCACGAAGGUGGCAGGGAAAACAUGUGGCCAAUAAAUUUUGGCCAAGGCCAGCCAAGGCCCUGAAACAACAAAGCAAAGGGCGAGAGAGCAAGAGAACAAGAGAAGGGAAAAUGGAAAGCGGUGGAGUGGAGGAGAGGAGAGAAGAAAAAUCUGAUGCUGCUGCUGCUGCUGUUGCUGCUCCCCCGUAAUCCCAACUUAAGGGUCCGUGCUGACCAGCGGGGAAAAAGUCACCGCUGGCGAGGAUUGGAUUCUUCUACUGUGUCCUAGUGCCGCUCCAGGACCCUCGCUGGCUGCUGCCCGGCUGCCCUGCCCAGGAGCGCUGAUUAACGCACUCGAGCGCAAUCUGCCUCACUUCACUUUUAUGCAAACACAAAACAGAAAUACGAGCAUAAAGGCACAGAGCACAAAAAUAAAAUAGAGCCUCAUGGCUCCUCUCCACCUCCACCUCCAUCUCCUCCUCCGACUGUCUCUGGCUGUCUGUCUGUCUUUCGGGCCUAUCUUGAUGGCAGCAUGGAAAUG